UGGGGAAUAUUGCACAAUGGGGGAAACCCUGAUGCAGCGACGCCGCGUGAACGUAGAAGGUAUUCGUAUCGUAAAGUUCUGUCCUAUGGGAAGAUAAUGACAGUACCAUAGAAGAAAGCUCCGGCUACAUACGUGCCAGCAGCCGCGGUAAUACGUAUGGAGCGAGCGUUGUCCGGAAUUAUUGGGCGUAAAGGGUACGCAGGCGGUUUAAUAAGUCGAAUGUUAAAGAUCGGGGCUCAACCCCGCAAAGCAUUGGAAACUGAUAAACUUGAGUAGUGGAGAGGAAAGUGGAAUUCCUAGUGUAGUGGUGAAAUACGUAGGUAUUAGGAGGAAUACCAGUAGCGAAGGCGAGUUACUGGACACAAACUGACGCUGAGGUACGAAAGCGUGGGGAGCAAACAGG
rnacentral:rRNA from 1 species